CAGGCUUAACACAUGCAAGUCGAGGGGCAGCAUUUUAGUUUGCUUGCAAACUGAAGAUGGCGACCGGCGCACGGGUGAGUAACACGUAUCCAACCUGCCGAUAACUCCGGAAUAGCCUUUCGAAAGAAAGAUUAAUACCGGAUAGCAUACGAAUAUCGCAUGAUAUUUUUAUUAAAGAAUUUCGGUUAUCGAUGGGGAUGCGUUCCAUUAGUUUGUUGGCGGGGUAACGGCCCACCAAGACUACGAUGGAUAGGGGUUCUGAGAGGAAGGUCCCCCACAUUGGAACUGAGACACGGUCCAAACUCCUACGGGAGGCAGCAGUGAGGAAUAUUGGUCAAUGGGCGAGAGCCUGAACCAGCCAAGUAGCGUGAAGGAUGAAGGCUCUAUGGGUCGUAAACUUCUUUUAUAUGGGAAUAAAGUUUUCCACGUGUGGAAUUUUGUAUGUACCAUAUGAAUAAGGAUCGGCUAACUCCGUGCCAGCAGCCGCGGUAAUACGGAGGAUCCGAGCGUUAUCCGGAUUUAUUGGGUUUAAAGGGAGCGUAGGUGGAUUGUUAAGUCAGUUGUGAAAGUUUGCGGCUCAACCGUAAAAUUGCAGUUGAAACUGGCAGUCUUGAGUACAGUAGAGGUGGGCGGAAUUCGUGGUGUAGCGGUGAAAUGCUUAGAUAUCACGAAGAACUCCGAUUGCGAAGGCAGCUCACUAGACUGUCACUGACACUGAUGCUCGAAAGUGUGGGUAUCAAACAGGAUUAGAUACCCUGGUAGUCCACACAGUAAACGAUGAAUACUCGCUGUUUGCGAUAUACAGUAAGCGGCCAAGCGAAAGCAUUAAGUAUUCCACCUGGGGAGUACGCCGGCAACGGUGAAACUCAAAGGAAUUGACGGGGGCCCGCACAAGCGGAGGAACAUGUGGUUUAAUUCGAUGAUACGCGAGGAACCUUACCCGGGCUUAAAUUGCAACAGAAUAUAUUGGAAACAGUAUAGCCGUAAGGCUGUUGUGAAGGUGCUGCAUGGUUGUCGUCAGCUCGUGCCGUGAGGUGUCGGCUUAAGUGCCAUAACGAGCGCAACCCUUAUCUUUAGUUACUAACAGGUUAUGCUGAGGACUCUAGAGAGACUGCCGUCGUAAGAUGUGAGGAAGGUGGGGAUGACGUCAAAUCAGCACGGCCCUUACGUCCGGGGCUACACACGUGUUACAAUGGGGGGUACAGAAGGCGGCUACCUGGUGACAGGAUGCUAAUCCCAAAAACCUCUCUCAGUUCGGAUCGAAGUCUGCAACCCGACUUCGUGAAGCUGGAUUCGCUAGUAAUCGCGCAUCAGCCAUGGCGCGGUGAAUACGUUCCCGGGCCUUGUACACACCGCCCGUCAAGCCAUGAAAGCCGGGGGUACCUGAAGUACGUAACCGCAAGGAGCGUCCUAGGGUAAAACUGGUAAUUGGGGCUAAG
rnacentral:rRNA from 1 species